rnacentral:rRNA from 1 species
UACAUGGGGUGCAAACGUUGCUCGGAAUUAUUGGGCGUAAAGCGCACGUAGGCGGUUUGUUAAGUCGGAUGUGAAAUCCCUCGGCUCAACUGAAGAAGUGCAUCCGAAACUGGCAGGCUUGAGUACUAAAGAGGGUCGCGGAAUUCCCGGUGUAGAGGUGAAAUUCGUAGAUAUCGGGAGGAACACCGGUGGCGAAGGCGGCGACCUGGGUAGAUACUGACGCUGAGGUGCGAAAGCGUGGGGAGCAAACAGG